ACACACCGCUGCCUCUUCUCGACUGGAGCGGCGCCCAAGCCGCCGCUGCUCGUCCCGUCGCCCGCCGGCGCGGCACACCGCAUCUGCUCGCGCCGGCGCCUCACGUCGCUUCAGCCUCCUCCUCUCGCCACAAAUGACGCCGCCUCCUCUCACCGUAGAUGCCGCCUCUCGUCAGAUCUGACGGAGCUCAACAUCGGUGCGGCCUUCUCCGUUCGGUCUCCACCAUCCGGCCACUGCGUCUUCCCCAUCAAGAACCUCAAGGACCUCGUCAUCUUCUACUACCUUAGAUGCGUUUAA
rnacentral:lncRNA from 2 species